GCUUGGGUAGCUCAGUUGGUAGAGCACUUGUCCGCGACGCGAGACUGCUACGGUCGCAGGUUCGAAUCCUGCCUCGGGCA
rnacentral:tRNA from 1 species